rnacentral:rRNA from 1 species
GAUGAACGCUGGCGGCGUGCCUAAUACAUGCAAGUCGAGCGAACGGACGAGAAGCUUGCUUCUCUGAUGUUAGCGGCGGACGGGUGAGUAACACGUGGAUAACCUACCUAUAAGACUGGGAUAACUUCGGGAAACCGGAGCUAAUACCGGAUAAUAUUUUGAACCGCAUGGUUCAAAAGUGAAAGACGGUCUUGCUGUCACUUAUAGAUGGAUCCGCGCUGCAUUAGCUAGUUGGUAAGGUAACGGCUUACCAAGGCAACGAUGCAUAGCCGACCUGAGAGGGUGAUCGGCCACACUGGAAGGGAGACACGGUCCAGACUCCUAAGGGAGGCAGCAGUAGGGAAUCUUCCGCAAUGGGCGAAAGCAUGACGGAGCAAGGCCGCGUGAGUGAUGAAGGUCUUCGGAGCGUAAAACUCUGUUAUUAGGGAAGAACAUAUGUGUAAGUAACUGUGCACAGCGUGACGGUACCUAAUCAGAAAGCCACGGCUAACUAUGUG